rnacentral:tRNA from 1 species
ACUUUUUUAAUAUAAUAAGUAUAGUUGAUUUCCAAUCAAAAAGUUUGUACUACAAAAAAAGUA